CAUGAUCUCAUUUAUAAGACCUUCUGGGAAAAUGAAGAACCAUAGGGGCAGAAAUCAGAUCAGCGGAUUCCAGGAGCUGGAGAGCCCAUGUGAGGAUGUUCUCAAGUGCUGUCAAUGACACGUGAGUUUGUCCCAAGUCUCUGGAGAAGAAAGCCCAGACAAAUGAGGACCCCAACACAAGUAUUCUGUACUUAAGCAGUCCAUAGGUCCAAGGCAGGAAGACACAGGGAAAGGGCCUGGGUGAAGGAGAGAAGCUCAUGGCAAAGCAAACAGGAAGCAGAGAGAAUAGAGCGAGGAGGAGGGAGGAAGAUAAACCCUUCCGGGCCACGCCCCAGUGGCCCGCCUCUUCCAACCAGGCCCCACCUCAGCUAUAAUCCCUCUAUCAUCCAAUCACCUCCCCAAAGCCCCACCGACGACUGAAGGAGGCUUUCCUGGGACAUCUAGAAAGAAAC